UACAGAGGGGGCAAGCGUUGUUCGGAAUUACUGGGCGUAAAGGGCGCGUAGGCGGCCUGUUAAGUCGAACGUGAAAUCCCCGGGCUCAACCCGGGAACUGCGUCCGAUACUGGCAGGCUUGAAUCCGGGAGAGGGAUGUGGAAUUCCAGGUGUAGCGGUGAAAUGCGUAGAUAUCUGGAGGAACACCGAUGGCGAAGGCAGCCCCCUGGGUUAACACUGACGCUCAUGCACGAAAGCGUGGGGAGCAAACAGG
rnacentral:rRNA from 1 species